AUGCCUAUCAAAGUGGAGGCUGCUGUGGAGCGAGCCUGCAGUCUUGGAGUUAGGCAGGCGACAGGGAUGUCGAUGUGGUGGCGGCGCAGUGGAGCUGCUACGACGGAGGCAAAACGAGACCACCAACACCGGCAAGAGCGGGCAUCCGAAGCAGUGUCGAGUGAGGAUGGGAGAGGGAAACCCACCUCCAACCCGCACUCCACCGGUCGUUCCGCGGGAGGGAAAUUUCCCCUCGCGCUCCCUCCCGUCGGACGCCUCGUCGAUCCCGUCGCCCCCGCGGUGAGCCAUGGAGGCGCCGCCGGACUCCUACGUCGCCCCGGUCGGCCCGCCCGCGUCCUCCCUCCCUCCGCCCGUCGCCCCGCCCCCGGCCUCGGCCUCGGUGAUGCUUGCGCCGGCCCCGUCCUCGCUCCCUCCGCCCGCGCCGGAGCGGCGCCGAAGGUGAGUAAGAAGCCCUCCCUUGGGUCGAAGGGGGCAGCGGCGCCGAAGGUGAAGAAGGCCACCUCCAGGAAGAAGCCGACGCCCGCCCCGGUCGCCCCGUCCGCCCCGGUCCCCGCACCUCUGCCCGUCGUGCACGAGGUGCUCGACGGAAUGCCUGCCCCACCAAUGUCGUUCAUGGGGCUUCUCGAAGAAGUGGAGGUGGACAUCGGGGCUCCUUCUCUCGAACCCUUUGGGUUUGGUGAUGACUUGCAGGAAGAGGGUGACGAGGAGGAGGAAGGGGAAGAUGAGGAGGAGGUGACCGAGAUAGAGGAGGAUAUGUUCGCCGCCGUUGCAAAACCCACCGUGCGCUCGACAAACUAUAGCGAGGACGAAGAUAUUCUCUUGGUUCGUGCUUGGGCACAUGUGGGGUUGGAUGCAAGCACCGGUACCGAUCAAACCGGUAAACGCUAUUGGCAACGCAUAGAGGACUUCUAUUGCAAGAUCAAGCCGAAGACCGAUGGGUACAUCCCUCGUAGUUACCGGUCGCUUCAAGGCCGGUGGGAGUUGAUGAAGCCCCAUUGUGCUCGUUGGAGUGCGGCAAUGGACCAAGUGAAGGAUGCACCGCCUAAUGGAACCAUGGAGAGUGGCUAUAAUCCAUGUAUGCCUAGCUGGCUAGCUCAGAUGCACGUCACUUUCACUCCCGGUUACUCCAUCCAUGCAUUUCCCCGGGACGGGACGGAGGGAGGACGAGACUUGCCUCAGUUGUUUGCUCCCUCGACGUGUGUCCAUCCGUGCUCCUGCUGCGGAACACGAUGCCCGGAACGGCACAUUUGGGCAACCGGCGCGCGACGCAAACUUCUGCCCAAAGCCGCACACAUUGGCCACCGGCGCCCAUCCUCCAUCCCUGACCGGCCAUCCCGAUCGGAUAAACCCGCGUCACGCGCGCGCCACCGAAGAACACCAACCCCCGCGCCGCGCGGUGGAACACCAUUCCUCGCCUCCCGACACAAGCAGAUUCCUUUCCUUCCUCCUCCACCGCACCGCACCGCAUCUCCGUCCGCCACGGCGCCGCCGCGCCCGCCGGUCUCCCCACCCUCCCCUCCUUCCUUGCGUGCCGCCCGCGGGUCACUUCCUCCCCAUGCAAUCACUCGAUUCCCGAGCAGCGGUGGCACGCAGACACAGCUAACCGCUGCAGCUACUCUAUUCCGUCUCGUGCGACUUUAA
rnacentral:rRNA from 1 species